AGAGUUUGAUCAUGGCUCAGAUUGAACGCUGGCGGCAUGCCUAAUACAUGCAAGUCGAACGGUAACGCGAGGAGCUUGCUCCUUGGCGACGAGUGGCGGACGGGUGAGUAAUACUUAGGAAUCUGCCCAGUAGUGGGGGACAACAUUCGGAAACGGAUGCUAAUACCGCAUACGCCCUACGGGGGAAAGCGGGGGAUCUUCGGACCUCGCGCUAUUGGAUGAGCCUAAGUCGGAUUAGCUUGUUGGUGGGGUAAAGGCCUACCAAGGCGACGAUCCGUAGCUGGUCUGAGAGGACGAUCAGCCACACUGGGACUGAGACACGGCCCAGACUCCUACGGGAGGCAGCAGUAGGGAAUAUUGGACAAUGGGCGAAAGCCUGAUCCAGCAAUGCCGCGUGUGUGAAGAAGGCCUGCGGGUUGUAAAGCACUUUCAGUAGAGAAGAAAAGCUUCUGGUUAAUAACCGGGAGUCUUGACGUAACCUACAGAAGAAGCACCGGCUAACUCCGUGCCAGCAGCCGCGGUCAUACGGAGGGUGCGAGCGUUAAUCGGAAUUACUGGGCGUAAAGCGCGCGUAGGCGGUUUUGUAAGUCGGAUGUGAAAUCCCCGGGCUUAACCUGGGAACUGCAU
rnacentral:rRNA from 1 species